GAAAUAAAGUUGGCAUAAUUCUCUAUUGUGAAGUUCUCUGUUAAAAAAAAAAAGGUGAGCACCAGAAGGCAUGUGAAUUCCAGAAUGAAUGAAGAUUGACUUCUGAUGGAUUGGUCUUGUGUUCGUUUAAUUUUUCAGUGUGCGGGAAUGUCAGAUUGUCUUUUAUUAGGUAUCAGAGAAUCCACAAAGCAGUGUACCAUCAGCGAGCCACCAUGAAAACAGGUUUCUUUUGAAAUUUGCACCUCACCACAUGCAUGAAAAGAUGACACAGGAGAGAGAUGCUGGUAUGAAAGUGGGUUCUGCAGAGCAUCUGUUUUUAUGACUUUCCCUCAGACAAGCGGCGAAAACUGAGUGAAGGGCAGAAGGUCAGUGUACAUGGAAGAGAAGUCAGAAGAUUAUGGUGUUUCAGCCGUUUCCACCAAUAUGUAAAGUCUGUACAUUAUGGUUACCUCUGCUGCUCAUCCUGCUCGGGAAGGUGUCAGGCACUUUAAUUUGGGCAGUUUCUUAAUGAUGAUGGGGAGAUGUCACCCAGAUCGACUGCAGCCGCUACCAAAUUGGGAGGAUAAUGGCAUGACUCACUGCAUGUGAAAACGUGUUAGAAUUUCUGAUGGUAUUGGAGUGGUCUGGAAACACA